AGCAGCAGCCGCGGUAAAACGAGGGGGGCAAGCGUUAUUCGGAAUUAUUGGGCGUAAAGGGUGCGUAGGCGGCUUGACAAGUCUUGUGUGAAAUCUAUGGGCUCAACCCAUAGUCUGCACGGGAAACUGUCGGGCUUGAGAAUGGGAGAGGUGAGUGGAAUUUCCGGUGUAGCGGUGAAAUGCGUAGAUAUCGGAAGGAACACCUGUGGCGAAAGCGGCUCACUGGACCAUUUCUGACGCUGAUGCACGAAAGCUAGGGGAGCAAACAGGAUUAGAUACCCCCGUAGUCCCUGUCUCUUAUAA
rnacentral:rRNA from 1 species